UGGCAACCAAUUAAGUUAACCAGGUUCCUUUACUCUCAGAGCCCUGUUCUGAGGUGGUGAUGAAACCCUCCUCUUUGGUAGUGUGGCAGCCUAUUCCCUAUAUGGACUGCCCGAAGGCAUCUGGGAGACAACA